ACGGGGGGUGCAAGCGUUGUUCGGAAUUAUUGGGCGUAAAGAGCGUGUAGGCGGCUGAAUAAGUCAGAUGUGAAAUCCCUGGGCUUAACCCAGGAAGUGCAUUUGAAACUAUUCAGCUUGAGUAGGGGAGAGGAAAGUGGAAUUCCUGGUGUAGAGGUGAAAUGCGUAGAUAUCAGGAGGAACACCGGUGGCGAAGGCGACUUUCUGGCCUGAUACUGACGCUGAGGCGCGAGAGCGUGGGGAGCAAACAG
rnacentral:rRNA from 1 species